rnacentral:rRNA from 1 species
CACGCCGUAAACGAUGUCAACUGGGUGUCGGUAGUUUUACACUAGCGGUGCCGAAGCUAACGCGUUAAGUUGACCGCCUGGGGACUACGGCCGCAAGGCUAAAACUCAAAGGAAUUGACGGGGGCCCGCACAAGCAGCGGAGCGUGUGGUUUAAUUCGAUGCGACACGAAGAACCUUACCCAGGUUUGACAUGCACGUAGUAGUGAAGCGAAAGCGGAACGAGCCUUCGGGCAGCGUGCACAGGUGU